UGGGGUGUGGCUCGGUGGCAGAGCACUUGCCUAGCAUGUAUGAGGCACUGGGUUUGAUUCUCAGAACCACAU
rnacentral:tRNA from 1 species